UCGCUACUACCGAUUGAAUGGCUCAGUGAGGCCUUCGGACUGGCUCGAGGAGGUUGGCAACGACCACCCCGAGCCGGAAAGUUGGUCAAACUCGGUCAUUUAGAGGAAGUAAAAGUCGUAACAAGGUUUCCGUAGGUGAACCUGCGGAAGGAUCAUU
rnacentral:rRNA from 1 species